GACUUCAGUUCCUCCACACACUGCAAAGCUUCAUGCAGAAGCCGUGCAUUGAAAUAUUCCUUCAAAAGUGAUACCGUUUUCCUCCUAAGUUCCUCCGGAUUUAAGCUUGCAACUGGUCUCUCAACAGUGGGAGGCACAUAGGAAGCAGAUGAAGUUUUACUAGGUACAGGGACUUGAGCAGGUAGCUCAUUACCCAAACCAACACCGUAAGGGCGAGGAGGAGGACCAGUACUUCCUUGCAAGAGGGCACUGCUCUUUCCACCUAUAAAGCCACCACUACC
rnacentral:misc_RNA from 1 species